rnacentral:rRNA from 1 species
CCUACGGGUGGCAGCAGUGAGGAAUAUUGGUCAAUGGGCGGGAGUCUGAACCAGCCAAGUCGCGUGAGGGAUGAAGGCACUGUGUAUUGUAAACCUCUUUUGUCUGGGAAUAAAGUGUGGCACUAGUGGGCUGUUGUGUGUACCUUAUGAAUAAGGAUCGGCUAACUCCGUGCCAGCAGCCGCGGUAAUACGGAGGAUGCGAGCGUUAUCCGGAUUUAUUGGGUUUAAAGGGUGCGUAGGGGGACUGUUAAGUCAGUCGUGAAAGUUCGCGGCUCAACCGCGGCGGUGCAGUUGAAACUGGCAGUCUGGAGUACAGGAGAGGUGGGCGGAAUUCGCGGUGUAGCGGUGAAAUGCUUAGAUAUCGCGAAGAACUCCGAUUGCGAAGGCAGCGUACCGGA